rnacentral:rRNA from 17 species
CCCCGUGAACCUUUACUACAGCUUGACACUGAACAUUGAGCCUACAUGUGUAGGAUAGGUGGGAGGCUUUGAAGCGGGGACGCCAGUUCUCGUGGAGCCAUCCUUGAAAUACCACCCUGGUUUGUUUGAGGUUCUAACCUUGGUCCGUUAUCCGGAUCGGGGACAGUGCAUGGUAGGCAGUUUGACUGGGGCGGUCUCCUCCUAAAGAGUAACGGAGGAGUACGAAGGUGCGCUCAGCGUGGUCGGAAAUCACGCGUAGAGUAUAAAGGCAAAAGCGCGCUUAACUGCGAGACCCACAAGUCGAGCAGGUACGAAAGUAGGACAUAGUGAUCCGGUGGUUCUGUAUGGCAGGGCCAUCGCUCAACGGAUAAA